rnacentral:rRNA from 1 species
CCUACGGGUGGCUGCAGUGAGGAAUAUUGGGCAAUGGGCGCUAGCCUGAACCAGCCAAGUAGCGUGAAGGAUGACUGCCCUAUGGGUUGUAAACUUCUUUUAUAGGGGAAUAAAGUGCAGUAUGUAUACUGCUUCGCAUGUACCUUAUGAAUAAGGAUCGGCUAACUCCGUGCCAGCAGCAGCGGUAAUACGGAGGAGCCGAGCGUUAUCCGGAUUUAUUGGGUUUAACGGGAGCGUAGGCGGGUUGUUAAGUCAGUUGUGAAAGUUUGCGGCUCAACCGUAAAAUGGCAGUUGAUACUGGAAUACUUGAGUGCAGUAGAGGAAGGCGGAAUUCGUGGUGUAGCGGUGAAAUGCGUAGAUAUAACGAAGAACUCCGAUGGCGAAGGCGGCCUGCUGGACUGUAACUGACGCUGAUGCUCGAAAGUGUGGGUAUCAAACAGGAUUAGAUACCCCUGUAGUC